GACCUAAAAUAACACAUGCGUUCUUAACAAACCCAUAAUUAAUGAAGAACAGUAAACAUCUCGUCCAAUAAAAGAGAGUUCUCAAUAGUAACACUCUAUGUGGCUCGUAAAAGAGUCCAACUCAAAGUUCAUUGUAGGCAAUCCCAAAAUACAUAUAUAAGCACCAUCUUGCAUGAUCUCAGGUUUUUCUCAAGAACACAUUGCUUUCUCCAAUAUUUCCUGCAGCUGCCCGCUCUGAUAUGCUUCGAGAGUGAUGUCGCAGCCGCCGAAGAACUCCCCGUCGAUGUAGAGCUGGGGGAAAGUGGGCCAGCUGGAGUAUUCCUU
rnacentral:misc_RNA from 1 species